GCUGCUGCUGCUGCUGUUGCUGGUCCCUGGCUGUGCGUGUGCGCCUGCGUGCUGUUCGCGGCACGCGGUGGGCUCCAGGAGGACACGGCGGCGGAUAGCAGACUGGGGCCAUGGUCAAUGCCACUCUGCUGACUCCGAUACCAUUGUAUGCUCCUGAUGGCAGAUCUCCUUCCCUCUGGGCUAUUGGAGGCCUGCGUGGUUGUUGGAGUUUCUGACGACAGACUCAGGGAAGCAUGUGAGAAGCAAGGCAGGGAGCAGGAGCUCCCCUUGUUGGAUGCAGAAGUCUUACAGGUGCAUGUGCCACCCUUUGUGACCAAGGAGGAUGUGUGGGGGUCCCAGAGCGGAGUCACUCGAGUGCAGCGUUGCCGCUCCUUCAUCAAAAAGAAGAAGGAGAGCCUCAUGCCAGCAGCUGACAGUGCCACAAAGAGCCAGGAGGCAGAUGCACAGGACGUCAGUGUUCCUACAGACAUUGACCUGGUGGCCCUACCACAGCUCUGCUUUCCUGGAGGGCUUCAAGUAGCAUACGAGUCAUGUGAAGACAGUUUCCACUUCCUUGUCUUCACGGACGUCUUGGGCAACCGCACGCAUGGAGUGGUUGUCCAAUAUUAUAAAUCUGUGCAGGACACAGUACUGUAUCCAAAUGGACAGCAGUCCUCUUCAAAGGGCCCUCGUCUCUAUUGUCCCUUUGGCAUCUGCCUCAUCUCUAAAUAUUCCUACUACAAUGCCCUGAAGGACUGUUUGUCAUGCUUGAUGCUCCAGCUCAGGGCCUGCCGCUGGAUGGACUGGAGAGGCAUGGUGAAGGAGUUUGCUGCCAAAUUGGCCUUGGUGCCCCUGCCUCCACCGGGACACCUCCAUCUGGUGUUCAACCUUCGGCCACUGCUCAUCGUCCUCCCUUCCAAAGAGGACAAGGAGCAACCUGCUGUUGACCUGGACCUUCAUCUUCCCUUUCUGUGCUUUAAGCCCAGACAGCUUUUACAGGUCAUCACCGGCAUCCUGACAGAGCAGCGCAUGGUGUUCUUCUCCUCGGACUGGGCUCGGCUCACGCUUGUGGCUGAGUGUUUCAUGCUGUUCAUCCGCCCACUCGUGUGGCAGCACCCCUUCGUGCCCGUGCUUUCACGUCAGAUGCUGGACUUCGUCAUGGCACCUACCUCCUUCCUCAUGGGCUGUCAUCUGCACCAUUUUGAGGAGGUUGCCUCGGAAACGGAUGAGCUAAUCUUAAUAAAUAUGGACAAUGGGACAGUGUCAUCUUCGGGCUCAGAGAGCGUCCUCAUCCCGGACAUGCCAGCCGUUGCUGAAGAGUGUUUUUUGCGGAGGAUGGAUGCACUUCAGGUUCACUAUGACCUGCAUGUUUGUCACCUGGGGAUCAGCGCAGACAUAAACGAGCUGCGCGCACAAAGAAGACAAUGGCAACAGAGCCUUAAUAUGGAAAUCCAGAAGAUAACCCUAGAAUUAAUGGUCAACAUCUUCAGGGAGGUUCAUGAUCACCUCAAUUAUGAACACCGAGUGUUUAACAGUGAGGAAUUCCUGAAGUCCAGGAACCUUAUGGAUCAGCCCUUUUAUGAAAAGGUGUUGGAAACGCACAUAUUCCAUUCUUUCCUGAAAGACCGCCUCAAUAGGAAGAUGGAUGCUUUCUCUCGACUGGAACUGAGCACACGGUCCGAGGCACAGCGACUGAAGGUGGGCAUUGAAUCCCCACGAAGACUUACAAUGCUGGAAAUGGCACGGAAAAACAGCACCCCAGAGAACCGUUUAAGCAAGAGGCUGGGAGUAAGCAUGCCCAAUCUGGGGGAGGAGCAGGCCGUGGGCUUCCCACCAAGGCAGACCUCAUUGAAGAAACUGCCCCUUGAGAGUGCUGCAAAGAUUUCCCCAUGGCCCAUAAAAACCUUCCACCUUCCCGAGUUCCCAAAUCCCCUGGAUUACCACAAGGUGCAGUCUUUCUAUUCGGAACUUAUUAGCCUCCUGGACAAGGCCAUCUCUUUAGUCUCCCCAGAUAACUCUGGCCUCUUGGCCAGGUACUACUACUUACGUGGGUUCCUGAACAGCACAGCGGGCAAGCAGUUGGAUGCCCUUAGGGACUUCCAGAACCUCUACAGAACAGACAUGGAUAUCUUCCCCAAUGAGCUGGUGAGGGCCCUGGUGGACUCGCUGCCCAAGGAAGAACGACAGCUGGCUGAAAAACGUUCUGAGAUCAAGCGCCUCAUUAGCAGGAUAAAGAAGGACCGUGAGAUGGACCAGUUCCGUCGAGAUGAUACCGUGAAGAAGUUUGAGCUGCCCAAGAAGCACAUGCAGCAGGAGGACUUUGUGAAGCGUGUUCAGGAGUCUGGCAUUGUAAAAGAUGUAGAGACUAUCCACCGUCUGUUUGAAGCUCUCACUGUAGAAUCAUGUAACAGUGGCUUGGGUGGGCAAGGUGUGGACAUGACAGCGAAGUCUUCUUCCCAAUCUAUCUUUUACCUUGAUUGCCCUGUGGAUGGUCAGCAGAAGCAAGUGGACCCAGAGCUCUUCCGUGUUUUCUACACCUUCUGGAAGGAGACUGAAGCGGAAGCACAGGAUGUUCACCUUCCUCCUGGGGUCAUCGAGCACCUGGACACCAGUGAGUGUGUCUACAAGCUGUCCUCCUCCAUCAAAACCAGCCAUGGCGUGGGAAAAAUUGCAAUGACCCAGAAGAGGCUCUUCCUGCUGACUGAAGGCCGCCCAGGAUAUGUAGAAAUCACCAAGUUCAGGGACAUCGAGGAGGUUAAGGUAUCCUCAGCACCUUUCCUUCUGCUGAGAAUCCCAACACUGAAGAUCAAGAGAAGCUCAAGGAAGGAGAUAUUUGAAGCAAACCUGAAGUCUGAGUGUGACUUGUGGAAUUUGAUGGUCAAGGAGAUGUGGGCAGGGAGGAAAAUGGCAGAUGGCCACAAGGACCCUCAGUACAUGCAGCAGGCCUUGACCAAUGUUCUCCUCAUGGAUGCCGUGGUUGGUUGCCUUCAGUCACAGAAAGCUAUCUUUGCUGCCACCAAACUGGCCUAUUUUGACAAAGUGAAACUUGAAGUGCCUAUGAUGGUUCCAAAAACAACUUCUGAGACCUUGAAACACAAGAUUAAUCCAUCUCUGGACCUCACCAGUCCUCAGGCUGUGGAUGUCCUCCUCUACACGCCAGGCCAGCUGAGCUUCACCGACUCAGACAGCAGCGGGAACCCCAAACUGUGGUGCGCACUAAGCGAUGGAAAAGUGGUGGUGUUCGACGCAGCCAGCUGGUCCAUUCAGCAUGACUCUAUCCAAGUUGGGGUAUCACGCCUGAACUGUAUGCUGAGACUGGACCAGCAUCAAGUUUGGAUCGGCUCCCAGGAUUCUGUCAUUUACAUCAUCAACACCCACAGCAUGUCCUGCAACAAGCAGCUGACAGAGCACCGUAGUGAGGUCACAGACUUUGCACUUGAUGAGACAACUGGCAAAAAUGAAAUACAGGCUUACUCCUGCAGUGCAGAUGGCAUUGUGAUCCUCUGGGAUGUUGCUACGCUGCGUGUGAGGAAACAGUAUCGACUAAACUGCGACAGACUCCUGUCCAUUCAGCUUGUCGGUGGAACUUUGUGGUGCUGUGCCAGAGACUGUAUCACGGAGAUGAAGAAAGCAGGUGUGGUGUGUCGCAAGAUGAAAAUGCCGACUGCUUUCAGCUGCUUCCUCCUCUUGCCAGAGACAGAGCAGUUGUGGACAGGCUGCACAGAUGCAGGUGGGAUUUGUGUGUGGCACUGCAGUGACCUCACCAACCCCUCACAGAAGAUCCAGCUGCAGGACUGCACUGGAGUCAAUUGCAUGAUCAGGGUCAAGGACCAGGUUUGGGCAGGGUGCCGUGGAGGAGUCGGUGGGAAAGCCAAGGGUAAAAUCUACGUGGUAGACUCAGAGAAGUGCACCGUGGAGAAGGAACUGGCAGGGCAUACAGAUAUGGUGCAGGCUCUUUGCUCUGCCGAGGACCGCUACGUGCUAAGUGGCACUGCCUCUGAGGAUGGGAAGAUCGCCAUCUGGAAGGUGGAGUAGAGAAUAUAUUCCUGUAUGUUCUUCCUGAAGAGUAGCCUUAUUGAGGCCCUACUUAAGGGAACUGGCUGUUAAAUGUGUUGCUUUGCCACCGGGGAGCUCUACAAUCUCCAAGCAUCUCAACCAUUUGAUCAAAAACCUGGCAAUAAAUCUCUUGUGCUUUUAUACAGUAUACAUGGGGACAUCUUGAUAAAGAUUUCAUUUUUAUACCAGUUCAUACUGUUGACUAAUGUACUUUCAUUGGCAAUUAAGCAAUUGUGCAGCAGCAUGUUGUAUCUGAAUGAGUGCUACACAUCUGUCUAACCAUCCUUCUCAGCUCAUCUUUUGUCAUUAUUUACAUUUGCACUGUUGUAAUAACAUUAUCUAUAUUCACAUUUAAGCUUUGAUUAGUAAUUAAUAAUCCCAAAUAAAGGGAUAUUGAAAUGCAUAUGUGGGAGGUGCAUUCUUUAGUUUCCUGUCACCAUGGUGUAAAUGUAAUCUUUUGCUCCAGUUCUGUCUAGUAACCAGAAAAAGAUUGCUGCUGACUUUCUUAAUCCAUCGUGGAUUUAGGAUUUAAAAAAAUGCCUUACCAAGAGGAGGUUACCCUGCUUCAACCUUUCUCUGAUCCGUUGCAGCUGAUGACCUGGUGUUUUCACUGCCCCUCGGCAAAUUUCCUUCUGUUUAAAUUACUUACUCCUACGAAUACUACACCAAGGCUAGGCUGGAGUAACCUGUCAGUCAGGGUUCUCUGGGAGCAGACUUGUGUAUUGUGUGGAAAUUGAAACUUCCAGUGAGACAGAACAUUUGAUACCUCAAGAUAUUUGUACCUACGUAUGGAAACAUUGCUCUUAAAAGCCUCGGAAAAGUAAAUGAACAUGUAAAUCUUCUGUUAGAAUAAAGAUUCUGAAAA